GCGGCUGCGGAGUAGCUGCGGGAUGAGACGCCCCAGCGGCUCAGGUGCUGCUCCGCGCCGGCUCUGGCAGGGAGCCUGGUGGGGUGGCGGAGGAGGAGGCCGUGCCGUGGCGGACCUCGCCGUGUCGCGCUGCCCGACGGAGUCUUGCUCUGUCACCCAGGCUGGAGUGCAGUGUGGCAAGAUCUCGGCUCACUGCAACCUCCGCCUCCCUGGUUCAAGCGAUUCUUCUGCCACAGCCUCCCAAGUACCUGGGACUACAGGCCGAAGUGCAGGGGCACAGUCUUGCCUCACUGCAACCUCUGCCUCCCAGGUGCAAGUGAUUCUCAAGCCUCAGCCUCCCAAAUGGCUGGGAUUACAGGUAUGAGCCACUGCACCUGCCUUCAUUUAUUUUAAUAGCUGUGUAGUAGUCAGUCAUAUGAAUGAACAGGACACAAUUAUAGUCUUUUAUUGAUAG